rnacentral:rRNA from 1 species
UACAGGGGGGACAAGCGUUGUUCGGAAUUACUGGGCGUAAAGGGCGCGUAGGCGGCCAGCACAAGUCAGUUGUGAAAUCUCCGAGCUUAACUCGGAACGGUCAACUGAUACUGUGCGGCUAGAGUGCGGAAGGGGCAACUGGAAUUCUUGGUGUAGCGGUGAAAUGCGUAGAUAUCAAGAGGAACACCUGCGGCGAAGGCGGGUUGCUGGGCCGACACUGACGCUGAGGCGCGAAAGCCAGGGGAGCGAACGGG